rnacentral:rRNA from 1 species
ACUGAAUAGAUACCCGGGUAGUCCACGCCCUAAACGAUGUCGACUGGUUGUUGGGGGUUUGACACUCUCAGUAAACGAAAGCUAAAACGCGUGAAGUCGACCGCCUGGGGAGUACGGCCGCAAGGUUAAAACUCAAAGGAAUUGACGGGGACCCGCACAAGCGGUGGAUUAUGUGGAUUAAUUCGAUGCAACGCGAAAAACCUUACCUACCCUUGACAUGUCCGAGAGCCUGCUGAAAGGCGGGUGUGCCCGAAAGGGAAUCGGAACACAGGUGCUGCAUGGCUGUCGUCAGCUCGUGUCGUGAGAUGUUGGGUUAAGUCCCGCAACGAGCGCAACCCUUGUCAUUAGUUGCUACAUUCAGUUGGGCACUCUAAUGAGACUGCCGGUGACAAACCGGAGGAAGGUGGGGAUGACGUCAAGUCCUCAUGGCCCUUAUGGGUAGGGCUUCACACGUAAUACAAUGGCGCGUACAGAGGGCUGCUAAGCCGCGAGGUAGAGCCAAUCCCUUAAAGCGCGUCGUAGUCCGGAUUGCAGUCUGCAACUC